rnacentral:rRNA from 1 species
GGGCCCCUUAAUUACCUGGCAGGUCGAACGAACUCUGGUAUUGAUUGGUGCUUGCAUCAUGAUUUACAUUUGAGUGAGUGGCGAACUGGUGAGUAACACGUGGGAAACCUGCCCAGAAGCGGGGGAUAACACCUGGAAACAGAUGCUAAUACCGCAUAACAACUUGGACCGCAUGGUCCGAGCUUGAAAGAUGGCUUCGGCUAUCACUUUUGGAUGGUCCCGCGGCGUAUUAGCUAGAUGGUGGGGUAACGGCUCACCAUGGCAAUGAUACGUAGCCGACCUGAGAGGGUAAUCGGCCACAUUGGGACUGAGACACGGCCCAAACUCCUACGGGAGGCAGCAGUAGGGAAUCUUCCACAAUGGACGAAAGUCUGAUGGAGCAACGCCGCGUGAGUGAAGAAGGGUUUCGGCUCGUAAAACUCUGUUGUUAAAGAAGAACAUAUCUGAGAGUAACUGUUCAGGUAUUGACGGUAUUUAACCAGAAAGCCACGGCUAACUACGUGCCAGCAGCCGCGGUAAUACGUAGGUGGCAAGCGUUGUCCGGAUUUAUUGGGCGUAAAGCGAGCGCAGGCGGUUUUUUAAGUCUGAUGUGAAAGCCUUCGGCUCAACCGAAGAAGUGCAUCGGAAACUGGGAAACUUGAGUGCAGAAGAGGACAGUGGAACUCCAUGUGUAGCGGUGAAAUGCGUAGAUAUAUGGAAGAACACCAGUGGCGAAGGCGGCUGUCUGGUCUGUAACUGACGCUGAGGCUCGAAAGUAUGGGUAGCAAACAGGAUUAGAUACCCUGGUAGUCCAUACCGUAAACGAUGAAUGCUAAGUGUUGGAGGGUUUCCGCCCUUCAGUGCUGCAGCUAACGCAUUAAGCAUUCCGCCUGGGGAGUACGGCCGCAAGGCUGAAACUCAAAGGAAUUGACGGGGGCCCGCACAAGCGGUGGAGCAUGUGGUUUAAUUCGAAGCUACGCGAAGAACCUUACCAGGUCUUGACAUACUAUGCAAAUCUAAGAGAUUAGACGUUCCCUUCGGGGACAUGGAUACAGGUGGUGCAUGGUUGUCGUCAGCUCGUGUCGUGAGAUGUUGGGUUAAGUCCCGCAACGAGCGCAACCCUUAUUAUCAGUUGCCAGCAUUAAGUUGGGCACUCUGGUGAGACUGCCGGUGACAAACCGGAGGAAGGUGGGGAUGACGUCAAAUCAUCAUGCCCCUUAUGACCUGGGCUACACACGUGCUACAAUGGAUGGUACAACGAGUUGCGAACUCGCGAGAGUAAGCUAAUCUCUUAAAGCCAUUCUCAGUUCGGAUUGUAGGCUGCAACUCGCCUACAUGAAGUCGGAAUCGCUAGUAAUCGCGGAUCAGCAUGCCGCGGUGAAUACGUUCCCGGGCCUUGUACACACCGCCCGUCACACCAUGAGAGUUUGUAACACCCAAAGUCGGUGGGGUAACCUUUUAGGAACCAGCCGCCUAAAGGGGACCCGG